AAUAAAAGUGCCAAAUGGAAGAAUGAGAGGCAAAGAGAAUGGAAUGCUUCACCUAAUUGCCUGGAUGCUGCCUUAGAUCUAAAUGUUGGAAAAUGCUUUACCUUAAUCUUUAUCACUUACCUUACUCUUCAGAGACUGAGUAGUCACUGAUGUUCAUGACCCA
rnacentral:lncRNA from 1 species